GAGGGUGUAUCUCAAGAGGUAGAGCUCAUGCUUAGCAUGCACCAGGUCCUGGGUUCAAUCCCCAGCACCUUCU
rnacentral:tRNA from 1 species